rnacentral:rRNA from 1 species
UACGAAGGGGGCUAGCGUUGCUCGGAAUUACUGGGCGUAAAGCGCACGUAGGCGGCUUCUUAAGUCGGGGGUGAAAUCCUGGAGCUCAACUCCAGAACUGCCUUCGAUACUGGGAAGCUCGAGUUCGGGAGAGGUGAGUGGAACUGCGAGUGUAGAGGUGAAAUUCGUAGAUAUUCGCAAGAACACCAGUGGCGAAGGCGGCUCACUGGCCCGAUACUGACGCUGAGGUGCGAAAGCGUGGGGAGCAAACAGG